AAUAGAUACCCCGGUAGUCCACGCCGUAAACGAUGAGUGCUAAGUGUUAGAGGGUUUCCGCCCUUUAGUGCUGCAGCAAACGCAUUAAGCACUCCGCCUGGGGAGUACGGCCGCAAGGCUGAAACUCAAAGGAAUUGACGGGGACCCGCACAAGCGGUGGAGCAUGUGGUUUAAUCCGAAGCAACGCGAAGAACCUUACCAGGUCUUGACAUCCUCUGACCAUCCUAGAGAUAGGACCUUCCCCUUCGGGGGACAGAGUGACAGGUGGUGCAUGGUUGUCGUCAGCUCGUGUCGUGAGAUGUUGGGUUAAGUCCCGCAACGAGCGCAACCCUUGUCCUUAGUUGCCAGCAUUCAGUUGGGAACUCUAAGGAGACUGCCGGUGACAAACCGGAGGAAGGUGGGGAUGACGUCAAAUCAUCAUGCCCCUUAUGACCUGGGCUACACACGUGCUACAAUGGAUGGUACAAAGGGCUGCGAAGCCGCGAGGUGGAGCCAAUCCCAUAAAACCAUUCUCAGUUCGGAUUGCAGG
rnacentral:rRNA from 1 species